rnacentral:rRNA from 1 species
AAGCUCGUAGUUGAAUUUCGAAUGUGGCUGGGCGGUCCGCCUCACGGUGUGUACUGUCUGGCUGUGUUCUCUUUCUUGGUGAGCCAGCAUGCCCUUUACUGGGUGUGUUGGGGAACCAGGACGUUUACCUUGAGAAAAUUAGAGUGUUCAAAGCAGGCCUACGCCCGAAUACAUUAGCAUGGCAUAAUAAAAUAGGACGUGCGGUUCUAUUUUGUUGGUUUCUAGAGCCGCAGUAAUGAUUAAUAGGGAUAGUUGGG